rnacentral:rRNA from 1 species
GAUGAACGCUGGCGGCGUGCCUAAUACAUGCAAGUCGAGCGAACAGAUACGGAGCUUGCUCCUUUGACGUUAGCGGCGGACGGGUGAGUAACGCGUGGAUAACCUACCUAUAAGACUGUGAUAACUUCGGGAAACCGGAGCUAAUACCGGAUAACAUAUUUAACCGCAUGGUUCAAUAGUGAAAGGCGGCUUUGCUGUCCAUUAUAGAUGACUCCGCGGCGUAUUAGAGAGUUGGUAAGGUAACGGCUUACCAAGGCAACGAAACGGAUCCGACCGGAUAGGGUGAUCGGCCACACUGGAACUGAGACACGUUCCAGACUCCUACGGGAGGCAGCAGUAGGGAAUCUUCCGAAAUGGGCGAAAGCCUGACGGAGCAACGCCGCGUGAGUGAUGAAGGUCUUCGGAUCGUAAAACUCUGUUAUCAGGGAAGAACAAAUGUGUAAGUAACUGUGCACAUCUUGACGGUACCUGAUCAGAAAGCCACGGCUAACUACGUGCCAGCAGCCGCAGUAA